rnacentral:rRNA from 1 species
AAUGAACGCUGGCGGCAUGCCUAACACAUGCAAGUCGAACGAGACCUUCGGUUAUAGUGGCGUACGGGUGCGUAACGCGUGGGAACCUGCCCUUAGGCUCGGAAAAACUCCCCGAAAGGGGUGCUAAUACCGGCUAAUGUCUUCGGACCAAAGAUUUAUCGCCUUUGGAUGGGCCCGCGUUGGAUUAGCUAGUUGGUAGGGUAAAAGCCUACCAAGGCGACGUUACAUAGCUGGUCUGAGAGGAUGAUCAGCCACACUGGGACUGAGACACGGCCCAGACUCCUACGGGAGGCAGCGGUGGGGAAUAUUAGACAAUGGGCGAGAGCCUGAUCCAGCAAUGCCGCGUGAGUGAUGAAGGCCUUAGGGUUGUAAAGCGCUUUUACCCGGGAUGAUAAUGACAGUACCGGGAGAAUAAGCUCCGGCUAACUCCGUG